CAUGGCUACCACCAUGCUGUAUACCAACUUCGCAUGUCAGUGCCUUCUUCCAAACUUGCCAUACCUUGCCUAUGUGUUGCCAUCCCGUGAAGAGGGUAUUUGAAUUCAAUAAGAGGACCAGUCUUUGGGUUCAAGCUGCCGAUCUCAACAUUUCAGGCCGGCCUUCAUUGGAGGAAGUUUUGAAGUCUCGCAAGGAAAAACUGGGUGAAACAUGUGCUGAUAACAAAACUUGUAAAGAUGUGAGUCAUGUGACUUGCAGGUUCUCGGUAAUAACAGAUAUAUGAUAAAAGCAUUUAUGAUCUCUCGUAAUUAUUAUUAUUAUUAUUAUUAUUAUUAUUAUUAUUAUUAUUAUUAUUAUUAUUUAAAAGGAUAACAAUCGUUUUUCUCUAUUGCGUGUGAGUUGGUUACAAUAUUACUUGUGAGUUAAUUUUUUUAACAAAAAUUUGAACUAUCACCACUGUACAUGUCACACGAGAGUUUUAUUUUGA